AUCACAUAAACAUCAAGAUGGUUUGCUCAAAAAUAAUUUAAUUGCUAGGGUUACCUAAUUUAAAACGUAACUGGGCUUAUAUAUACUCUAUGGUAUUAUUAUGAAGGGCUCAAAUUGUUCGAACAUUUUUUUCAAAUUGUAUUAGGUCUAGAUCCAACAUUAAAUCUAUUGCCAUGCGACAAGUAUAUAAUGAAGUUGGUCAACAUUCGGUGGCUUGAAAGAAACCCUUCAUUUAAAAGGAAUGC
rnacentral:lncRNA from 1 species